AUAUACCAUUUUUACCUACUAUUUCCACAUAACAUAAUUUUUCAACACAUAUCAUGGAUAGGGAGUAUGCACACAACAACUUUAUCCCAAUUUACACAAACCAUAAUCCCACAAAUAUAGAUUAUUUUCCCCCAAUGCUAAAACUAUCUAAGAACUCACCUAGUAGAAGAAGAUGAAGUUGGUGAUGAUGAAGAUAAUGGUGGUUCCAUGGCUAUCUUCUUCUUUC
rnacentral:lncRNA from 1 species